AGUGAACGCUGGCGGUAGGCCUAACACAUGCAAGUCGAACGGCAGCACAGUAAGAGCUUGCUCUUACGGGUGGCGAGUGGCGGACGGGUGAGGAAUACAUCGGAAUCUACUUUUUCGUGGGGGAUAACGUAGGGAAACUUACGCUAAUACCGCAUACGACCUACGGGUGAAAGCAGGGGAUCUUCGGACCUUGCGCGAUUGAAUGAGCCGAUGUCGGAUUAGCUAGUUGGCGGGGUAAAGGCCCACCAAGGCGACGAUCCGUAGCUGGUCUGAGAGGAUGAUCAGCCACACUGGAACUGAGACACGGUCCAGACUCCUACGGGAGGCAGCAGUGGGGAAUAUUGGACAAUGGGCGCAAGCCUGAUCCAGCCAUACCGCGUGGGUAAAGAAGGCCUUCGGGUUGUAAAGCCCUUUUGUUGGGAAAGAAAAGCAGCAGGUUAAUACCCCGCUGUUCUGACGGUACCCAAAGAAUAAACACCGGCUAACUUCGU
rnacentral:rRNA from 1 species